rnacentral:rRNA from 1 species
UUCUUUGAGGGUUUGAUCCUGGCCCAGGACGAACGUUGGCGGUGUGCCUUAGGCAUGCAAGUUGAGCGGAGAGGUACCAAUCUGGUACCUCUCAGCAGCGGACGGCUGAGUAACGCGUCGGUAUCUACACUUUGGUGGGGGAUAGCAAACCGAAAGGUCUGGUAAUCCCGCAUGAGAUCGCAAGAUCAAAGGACUUAACGGUCCGCCGAAGGAUGAGCCGGCGUCCUAUCAGUUUGUUGGUGGGGUAAUGGCCUACCAAGACUAUGACGGGUAGGGGGUGUGAGAGCACGACCCCCCAGAGUGGAACUGAGACACGGUCCACACACCUACGGGUGGCAGCAACUAGGAAUCGUACGCAAUGGGCGAAAGCCUGACGUCGCGACACCGCGUGGAGGAUGAAGGCCUUCGGGUUGUAAACUUCUUUUGACUCGCUCUAAAGCGAGUAGAAUAAGCACUUGCUAACUCUGUGCCAGAAGCAUCGGUAAUACAGAGAGUGCAAACGUUGUCCGGAUUUACUGGGCGUAAAGAGUUCGUAGGCGGUUUGGUGCGUCUUGUGUGAAAGGUUCAGGCUUAACUUGGACACUGCAUGGGAUACGACCAGACUUUGAGAUCUUUCGGGGAUGUUGGAACUUGCGGUGGAGGGGUGAAAUCCGUUGAUAUCGCAAGGAACACCGACGGCGAAGGCGGACAUCUAGAAAGUAUCUGACGCUGAGGAACGAAAGCUAGGGGAGCGAAAGGGAUUAGAGACCCCUGUAGUCCUAGCCGUAAACGAUGCUCGCUAGUCCGUGGAGUUAAAUUCAUGGACGUAAGCUAACGCGUUAAGCGAGCCGCCUGGGGAGUACGGCCGCAAGGCUAAAACUUAAAGGAAUUGACGGGAGAGCGCACAACCAGUGGAUCAUGUUGUUUAAUUCGAUACAAAACGAAGAACCUUACCCAGAUUUGACAUGCUACCGUUCAGCGAACUAGAAACAGUUUGUGAUCUCGCAAGAGAUGGUAACACAGGUGUUGCAUGGCUGUCGUCAGCUCGUGCCGUGGGGUGUCGGCUUCAGUGCCGUAACGAGCGCAACCCCUGUCCCGCGUUAAAUAUUCGCGGGAGACUGCCUUAGUUUUUACUAGGGAGGAAGGAGGGGACGAUGUCAAGUCAGCAUGGCCCUUAUAUCUGGGGCUACAAACAUGAUACAAUGGCGUUUCACAAUGGGUUGCCAAGCCGUAAGGCGGAGCUAAUCCCACCAAAAAACGUCUCAGUUGGGAUUGAGGGCUGCAAUUCGCCCUCAUGAACCCGGAAUUGGUAGUAAUCGCGGGUCAGCUAUACCGCGGUGAAUACGUUCUCGCUCUUUGUACACACCGCCCUAUAGUAAUUAAUAAAUACUGUAGAUAAACGCGCGUGGCAGCAUAAAAAACUAGUUGGUUAAAAUCCAAC